UCAACUUGAGAGUUUGAUCCUGGCUCAGAACGAACGCUGGCGGCAGGCUUAACACAUGCAAGUCGAACGCCCCGCAAGGGGAGUGGCAGACGGGUGAGUAACGCGUGGGAAUCUACACAACCCUGCGGAAUAGCUCUGGGAAACUGGAAUUAAUACCGCAUACGCCCUACGGGGGAAAGAUUUAUCGGGGAUGGAUGAGCCCGCGUUGGAUUAGCUAGUUGGUGGGGUAAAGGCCUACCAAGGCGACGAUCCAUAGCUGGUCUGAGAGGAUGAUCAGCCACAUUGGGACUGAGACACGGCCCAAACUCCUACGGGAGGCAGCAGUGGGGAAUAUUGGACAAUGGGCGCAAGCC
rnacentral:rRNA from 1 species